rnacentral:rRNA from 1 species
GGGUUGUGAGGUUAAGCGACUAAGCGUACACGGUGGAUGCCCUGGCAGUCAGAGGCGAUGAAGGACGUGCUAAUCUGCGAUAAGCGUCGGUAAGGUGAUAUGAACCGUUAUAACCGGCGAUUUCCGAAUGGGGAAACCCAGUGUGUUUCGACACACUAUCAUUAACUGAAUCCAUAGGUUAAUGAGGCGAACCGGGGGAACUGAAACAUCUAAGUACCCCGAGGAAAAGAAAUCAACCGAGAUUCCCCCAGUAGCGGCGAGCGAACGGGGAGCAGCCCAGAGCCUGAAUCAGUGUGUGUGUUAGUGGAAGCGUCUGGAAAGGCGCGCGAUACAGGGUGACAGCCCCGUACACAAAAAUGCACAUGCUGUGAGCUCGAUGAGUAGGGCGGGACACGUGGUAUCCUGUCUGAAUAUGGGGGGACCAUCCUCCAAGGCUAAAUACUCCUGACUGACCGAUAGUGAACCAGUACCGUGAGGGAAAGGCGAAAAGAACCCCGGCGAGGGGAGUGAAAAAGAACCUGAAACCGUGUACGUACAAGCAGUGGGAGCACGCUUCGGCGUGUGACUGCGUACCUUUUGUAUAAUGGGUCAGCGACUUAUAUUCUGUAGCAAGGUUAACCGAAUAGGGGAGCCGAAGGGAAACCGAGUCUUAACUGGGCGUUAAGUUGCAGGGUAUAGACCCGAAACCCGGUGAUCUAGCCAUGGGCAGGUUGAAGGUUGGGUAACACUAACUGGAGGACCGAACCGACUAAUGUUGAAAAAUUAGCGGAUGACUUGUGGCUGGGGGUGAAAGGCCAAUCAAACCGGGAGAUAGCUGGUUCUCCCCGAAAGCUAUUUAGGUAGCGCCUCGUGAAUUCAUCUCCGGGGGUAGAGCACUGUUUCGGCAAGGGGGUCAUCCCGACUUACCAACCCGAUGCAAACUGCGAAUACCGGAGAAUGUUAUCACGGGAGACACACGGCGGGUGCUAACGUCCGUCGUGAAGAGGGAAACAACCCAGACCGCCAGCUAAGGUCCCAAAGUCAUGGUUAAGUGGGAAACGAUGUGGGAAGGCCCAGACAGCCAGGAUGUUGGCUUAGAAGCAGCCAUCAUUUAAAGAAAGCGUAAUAGCUCACUGGUCGAGUCGGCCUGCGCGGAAGAUGUAACGGGGCUAAACCAUGCACCGAAGCUGCGGCAGCGACGCUGAUGCGUUGUUGGGUAGGGGAGCGUUCUGUAAGCCUGCGAAGGUGUGCUGUGAGGCAUGCUGGAGGUAUCAGAAGUGCGAAUGCUGACAUAAGUAACGAUAAAGCGGGUGAAAAGCCCGCUCGCCGGAAGACCAAGGGUUCCUGUCCAACGUUAAUCGGGGCAGGGUGAGUCGACCCCUAAGGCGAGGCCGAAAGGCGUAGUCGAUGGGAAACAGGUUAAUAUUCCUGUACUUGGUGUUACUGCGAAGGGGGGACGGAGAAGGCUAUGUUGGCCGGGCGACGGUUGUCCCGGUUUAAGCGUGUAGGCUGGUUUUCCAGGCAAAUCCGGAAAAUCAAGGCUGAGGCGUGAUGACGAGGCACUACGGUGCUGAAGCAACAAAUGCCCUGCUUCCAGGAAAAGCCUCUAAGCAUCAGGUAACAUCAAAUCGUACCCCAAACCGACACAGGUGGUCAGGUAGAGAAUACCAAGGCGCUUGAGAGAACUCGGGUGAAGGAACUAGGCAAAAUGGUGCCGUAACUUCGGGAGAAGGCACGCUGAUAUGUAGGUGAGGUCCCUCGCGGAUGGAGCUGAAAUCAGUCGAAGAUACCAGCUGGCUGCAACUGUUUAUUAAAAACACAGCACUGUGCAAACACGAAAGUGGACGUAUACGGUGUGACGCCUGCCCGGUGCCGGAAGGUUAAUUGAUGGGGUUAGCGCAAGCGAAGCUCUUGAUCGAAGCCCCGGUAAACGGCGGCCGUAACUAUAACGGUCCUAAGGUAGCGAAAUUCCUUGUCGGGUAAGUUCCGACCUGCACGAAUGGCGUAAUGAUGGCCAGGCUGUCUCCACCCGAGACUCAGUGAAAUUGAACUCGCUGUGAAGAUGCAGUGUACCCGCGGCAAGACGGAAAGACCCCGUGAACCUUUACUAUAGCUUGACACUGAACAUUGAGCCUUGAUGUGUAGGAUAGGUGGGAGGCUUAGAAGUGUGGACGCCAGUCUGCAUGGAGCCGACCUUGAAAUACCACCCUUUAAUGUUUGAUGUUCUAACGUUGACCCGUAAUCCGGGUUGCGGACAGUGUCUGGUGGGUAGUUUGACUGGGGCGGUCUCCUCCUAAAGAGUAACGGAGGAGCACGAAGGUUGGCUAAUCCUGGUCGGACAUCAGGAGGUUAGUGCAAUGGCAUAAGCCAGCUUGACUGCGAGCGUGACGGCGCGAGCAGGUGCGAAAGCAGGUCAUAGUGAUCCGGUGGUUCUGAAUGGAAGGGCCAUCGCUCAACGGAUAAAAGGUACUCCGGGGAUAACAGGCUGAUACCGCCCAAGAGUUCAUAUCGACGGCGGUGUUUGGCACCUCGAUGUCGGCUCAUCACAUCCUGGGGCUGAAGUAGGUCCCAAGGGUAUGGCUGUUCGCCAUUUAAAGUGGUACGCGAGCUGGGUUUAGAACGUCGUGAGACAGUUCGGUCCCUAUCUGCCGUGGGCGCUGGAGAACUGAGGGGGGCUGCUCCUAGUACGAGAGGACCGGAGUGGACGCAUCACUGGUGUUCGGGUUGUCAUGCCAAUGGCACUGCCCGGUAGCUAAAUGCGGAAGAGAUAAGUGCUGAAAGCAUCUAAGCACGAAACUUGCCCCGAGAUGAGUUCUCCCUGACUCCUUGAGAGUCCUGAAGGAACGUUGAAGACGACGACGUUGAUAGGCCGGGUGUGUAAGCGCAGCGAUGCGUUGAGCUAACCGGUACUAAUGAACCGUGAGGCUUAACCUUACAACGCCGAAGGUGUUU